rnacentral:misc_RNA from 1 species
GGUAGCUCCUCAAGAUAUUCACAAGAUGACAGGAGAAGUGUCUCUAAGUUAUACAACACAAAAAUGGAAUCCGGCAACUUUGUAAUCCGCGAACAAGAAAGGUCCAAAAAUCUGAGGAGCUUUAAUUUGAUAAACAAGUCAUUUGGCAACUCCUUCAUCACAUAACCUGACAAUGAUAAUGCCCUUAAGGAUCUUAGUGUUGGC